rnacentral:rRNA from 1 species
GGAGCAUACCGCGUGAGGGAUGACGGCCUAUGGGUUGUAAACCUCUUUUUUCAGGGAGGAAUAAAUGACGUGUACCUGAAGAAUAAGCAUCGGCUAACUCCGUGCCAGCAGCCGCGGUAAGACGGAGGAUGCAAGUGUUAUCCGGAAUCACUGGGCGUAAAGCGUCUGUAGGUGGUUUAAUAAGUCAACUGUUAAAUCUUGAGGCUCAACCUCAAAAUCGCAGUCGAAACUGUUAGACUAGAGUAUAGUAGGGGUAAAGGGAAUUUCCAGUGGAGCGGUGAAAUGCGUAGAGAUUGGAAGGAACACCGAUGGCGAAGGCACUUUACUGGGCUAUUACUAACACUCAGAGACGAAAGCUAGGGUAGCAAAUGGGAUUAGAUACCCCAGUAGUCCUAGCUGUAAACAAUGGAUACUAGAUGUUGAACAGAUCGACCUGUGCAGUAUCAAAGCUAACGCGUUAAGUAUCCCGCCUGGGAAGUAUGCUCGCAAGAGUGAAACUC